rnacentral:rRNA from 1 species
CACGUAGGCGGCCAUGUAAGUCAGGUGUGAAAUCCCCGGGCUCAACCUGGGAACUGCAUUUGAGACUGCAUGGCUAGAGUAUGGGAGAGGAAGGCGGAAUUCCCGGUGUAGCGGUGAAAUGCGUAGAUAUCGGGAGGACAUCAGUGGCGAAGGCGGCCUUCUGGCCCAAUACUGACGCUCAGGUGCGAAAGCGUGGGGAGCAAACA